rnacentral:rRNA from 1 species
GAUGAACGCUGGCGGCGUGCUUAACACAUGCAAGUCGAACGAAGCAUUUAGAACAGAUUAUUUCGGUAUGAAGUUCUUUAGUGACUGAGUGGCGGACGGGUGAGUAACGCGUGGGUAACCUGCCUCACACAGGGGGAUAACAGUUGGAAACGGCUGCUAAUACCGCAUAAGCGCACAGUACCGCAUGGUACGGUGUGAAAAACUCCGGUGGUGUGAGAUGGACCCGCGUCUGAUUAGCUAGUUGGCAGGGCAACGGCCUACCAAGGCGACGAUCAGUAGCCGACCUGAGAGGGUGACCGGCCACAUUGGGACUGAGACACGGCCCAAACUCCUACGGGAGGCAGCAGUGGGGAAUAUUGCACAAUGGGGGAAACCCUGAUGCAGCGACGCCGCGUGAGCGAAGAAGUAUUUCGGUAUGUAAAGCUCUAUCAGCAGGGAAGAAGAAAUGACGGUACCUGACUAAGAAGCACCGGCUAAAUACGUGCCAGCAGCCGCCGUAA